rnacentral:rRNA from 1 species
AGCUCCAAUAGCGUAUAUUAAAGUUGUUGUGGUUAAAAAGCUCGUAGUUGGAUCUCGGCGGUCUGAGGGCGGUUCGCUUGAUUGAGUGCUACUGCUCUAUAGGCCGUGGUUUUGCCAGAGGUCUCGGGGUGCUCUUAACCGAGUGUCCUGCGAUGCUGGCAGGUUUACUUUGAAAAAAUUAGAGUGCUCAAAGCAGGCUUUUACGCCUGAAUAUUCGUGCAUGGAAUAAUAGAAUAGGAAGUCGUUUCUAUUUUGUUGGUUUUCGGAAAUCGACUUAAUGAUUAAUAGGGACAAUUGGGGGCAUUCGUAUUAACGCGUCAGAGGUGGAAUUCUUGGAUUGCGUUACGACGAACUACUGCGAAAGCAUUUGCCAAAGAUGUUUUCA